CCUACGGGAGGCAGCAGUGGGGAAUAUUGCGCAAUGGGCGAAAGCCUGACGCAGCGACGCCGCGUGAGGGAUGAAGGUCUUCGGAUCGUAAACCUCUGUCAGCAGGGAAGAACGGUCACUGUGCUAAUCAGCAGUGAAUUGACGGUACCUGCAAAGGAAGCACCGGCUAACUCCGUGCCAGCAGCCGCGGUAAUACGGAGGGUGCGAGCGUUAAUCGGAAUUACUGGGCGUAAAGCGCUCGUAGGCGGUAUGUCAAGUCAAGGGUGAAAUCCCCGCGCUCAACGUGGGAACUGCCUGUGAAACUGGCAAACUGGAGUGUGUGAGAGGAUAGUGGAAUUCCAGGUGUAGGAGUGAAAUGCGUAGAUAUCUGGAGGAACAUCAGUGGCGAAGGCGACUAUCUGGCACAUAACUGACGCUGAGGAGCGAAAGCGUGGGUAGCAAACAGGAUUAGAUACCCGGGUAGUC
rnacentral:rRNA from 1 species